UUCCGCGGGCUGGACGUAAGUCCCUGGGGAGCCUGCAGGGCGAGAUGCGGGGGCACCGGUCCGCGGUCAUUCCUGUGCUGCUGCGGUGAAACCCGUUUUGCUCGCAAUAGGCGAGAGAGGAAAGAAACGCCUCCCGGGCCCGGUUGGCUUUCACGGUGUGGCCCGCAGCGUUACCUCUCUGAGGCGGGGUCCAGCCUCGGAGGAAUUUAAGCUGUAGCUCAGAGAUUAGUUUGCUCAGAGAUGUGCUGCACCCCACGGAGAAGGAUCCACAUUAAGGAUUGAAAAUUUAGUGAUACAUACUCAAGGCUCUGGUUUCCAUAUGUAGUGAAGAUACCCAAAAGAAGCAGCAGCAGUGGAAUUGUAUGAAAACCCUGAGACUGUCACUAUGCUGGAUUUAAACAAAUUCUGUUAAUCCUGCACUAACCUGAGCUCUCCCAUCAUGCAAAAGAACUAAAUCAAAGCAGAAAAAAUAGCUUCAAAUCUGGAGAUACACUCAGAGCAGCUAAAUUACUGGCCAGGGUCCCUGUAGCAAGUCCUUAGCAGAGCAGAGGUAAAGGGCAGCUUUCUGUCAGGUCCAAAGGUACUGCAUUCCUUAGCCACUGCCUUUCUCAUGAAUUAGUAUCUGCAUUCCUGCUGACCUCAGGGAAGACAGGAAUGAAAAAUCUAGUAAUAACCAGCAGAGGCAGGAUUCCACAGGUAAGAGUUGUCAAACAGUGGAGCAGAUGUACAGAGAGUCUGUAAAAUGUCCAUCCUUCAGGGUACUCAAAAUGCAGCUGGGCAAGGCCUGACCAACUUGCUGUAACUGAGCCUGCUUUGAACAGGAUCUGGAACCAGCUGGCCUCCAGAGGUUCCUUCCAGCAUACCUGAUCCUGUGGUUCUGUGACUUUUUUUGAGAGUAUUGCCAAAUUGGAAGCCCAGAGCAAUGUUUAUGGGGGAAAAACCCAACAAUCCAGCUCUAAAAGGGAAAAAAUCGGAAUCAACUAAAGUAAACUACAAGAAAAAGACACAGAGGAAACUAAGCUAUCAAUAAAGCUAUCAAUGAAGCUGUCCAAGAGAAAAGUGCUUUUCAGCAGCAGGGAAUAACUGAGGUUGUGAAGUUAAAAAGCCUGGCGAAUAUCCUGAGGAGAGUGUGAGAAAGUUGAAACAUGUCUAGUAGAUAUGACAUCAAAAAGCCCAAUCACCCAAAGAGAAAGUGUAUACAUGGACUCAUCUUCAAAGACUGAAUUUGACAUUUUUAUAAUUUGUUGUGUGCUUUCUGAGCAUCUGCUGAGACUACACAUCUCAAACGUUACUGGUGGCAGCUAGUCUAAAGAAUGCACUUUCCUGGUGCAAUGGUGGAGGACCGUGACAUGCAGAAAAAAGAAAAUCUCCCGUCUGAAACAGUGACCAGUUCUUCCUAUUCUCGCUCUUCUCCUGGAAGGUGAGGAUGAACUGCUCACCCCACAGUCCUGAGCCAGGAACAGGAACAGGAACCAGCCUGCUGCGGUCCAGGAAACCCAGGGUAAUACCAGUAUUAAUAUCUGCUUCUGUCAGAGCCAGCCAGAUUACAGCCAAGCCUAAAGGGCAGGGUACUAGACCAGAGGCAAAUGUAAAGGGUGUCUUUCCCUGAAGUGACCAUAAUGUAACAUACACAGCAUUGCAGACAACCAGAGUGUCAGAUUUGCAUUCUGGAUUCUGAAGCACAGAUACUUGUACAAUAGAUGUUUCUCACAGGCUUAUAUACAGUGUAAAGAUGUGUCCACCUAUGAUACCAGUUAUAGCUGUUUCAGUAGGUUAUUAUACAGUUCUGAACAUGGUCAAAUUAUGUGAGUCUUGCAUACCAUACUGUCUGAAUGGUUUUCCAACAGUAGGUUCCAUUUUUCUUUAAUGUACCUCAAAACAUAGUUUCCUGCUCAUGUUUAAUGAAGUAAACUCCUGAUAACUGCAGCAUACACUAUAGUCAUUAUUUCCUCCUCAUAUUUCAGGGCCUUUGACAUUUCAGUCUGCCCAGCAAUGGUUCGUUAACAGGAUGUACUUACAUAUUCAUAUUUCAGCUGCUUGUUAUUAACUUCUGUCUAAUUCCAGUAAUGCUCUGAUCCAUCAUCAGAACAGCUUACUCAUAAGCAUUUGGUUCUGCCCAGGUUACAACACUGUUCUGCAGGAGAAGCAGCUCCUUAGGGGCUGAGCUGAGAGCUGGGGUGGAAACUGCUCCAGCUGCCUUGUUUGCGAGUCAUCCCUGUAAGUACAUUAACUUCUAGAAGCUGUGUUGAUUCUUCCAUGCAAUUGAAUAACAUGAUGAUGAUUGUGGAAGAGUGAUUUCUCUGCAUAUACUCCUUGUUGAGGCUAUUAGGACAAAGUAUGAUAGGGCACAAAUAAAAUCAUAAGGCUAGACGUUCAGAUGAUGAACAUCAGUGUGGCAGUGUUAAAGUUCAUCUAUUGCAGUAGAAAAAUUACCUUUCUAAUGACAUUAUAAGGUUCCUAUUAUUAUAAGAUAAAUUCAUAGCUGACUGUUCAUUCUGUAUGAGAUUUUUUUUUUGUAUAAUAAUACAAAGAAAUUUAAUUUCUAAUUUUAGCCUCUUUUAUACAUUUAUUUCUACCAUAUUUUUUGAGACAGGGAGUCAGCCUGAGGAAACAUACUGCUCAGUUUGAUUUCAGAUACUAUAGAUGUAGUUUGUUCUUUCUGUUCUAUGCAGAAAUAGUUAAUGACCAAGAUAACUGCACAGUGAGUGCACCACAGCUGAAUAUUUCAAAAUACUUCAGGAAAAUUCUUGCUCCCCCUGCAGUCAAAGGAAGCUUUUGCAGUGAAUUUAAAAAAGAAAGGAGAUGUGCAUUUCUGCUGUGGAUGCCCUAAAAAUGUGCUCGAUGUUUAUGUCUGUGUUUGCUUUGCUUUGGCUUGCCACUGCUUACUUAAGAAAGAAACUAGAUUAACAUUUUAACAUCACAUUAUCUCUCAGAUAUCUCUGCUUACUAUCUUUGUUUGCUGUACUUUUGUAAAUAAGAUAAACAGUGAGUAAACAGAAAAAACAACUUCCAUGGUGCAUUUUGUACAAAGUUCUCAGACGAUUAAUGGUGGAGCAUGUGAGUCUGCUAAGACAAAAGAGGACAGGUGGUAUUAAAAAAUCUCAGAUGCAUUUUAAAUGUAGGGAAGUACACUUCUAAUUAAUAUUUUAAAGUACGAUGUGAAC